UCAUCCUCAAUAGUGUACAUUCAAGUUUGUUCAAAUCAUGACCCCAGGGCAAGGGUGGGGCCACAAUGGCCAAUCAAAGUUUUACAUAGGAAUAUAUAGGAAAAAUCUUUAAAAAUCUCCUUCUCAAGAUCCAUAGGGACAGGAAAAAUGAAACUCAUGUUGAAUCAUCCUCAGGUAGUUUACAUUCAGGUUGUUCAAAGCAUUACCCUUGGGGGUAGGGUGGGGCCACAAUUGCCGAUCAAAGUUUUACAUAGGAAUAUCAUAAAUAAUUUUCUUUUCAAGUACUGCAAAGCCAUGAUUAGUGAUAUUUAUAUGGAAGCAUCCUCAGGUACUGUAGAUUCAAGUUUGUUCAAACCAUAACCCCCAGGGGUAGGGUGGGGCCACAAUGGGGGAUCCAAGUUUUACAUAGGAAAAUAAAGGUAAAAAUCUCAAUAACAGAAGAGCUAUGUUAAGUCAUAUUGAAAUGUAAGCAUCCUCAUGUAUUGAAAUUUAAAUGUGUUCAGAUCAUGAGUACCCUUUUGGGUGGGAGGGAAAGAAUGGGGAGUCAAAUUCAAAUUAUUACAAAGUCAUGUAUACAAACAAAAUGUUUAAAAAAAUAUAUAAAAAUCUUUUUUUCAAGAACUUUCUCAAGAAGUUAUUUGCAGAAUUGAUAUGGAGGCAUUCUCAAGUAGUAUUAGAGUUCAAGCCCCCACCCCACCCCCUCAGUAAACUUCUCAAUUCUGAUCUGAUUUGUGCUUUUCCCUAGCCGAUGUGCUUAGGUGAGCGAUGUGGCCCCUGGGCCUCUUGUUUGUAAAUGGGACUUAUUGGAAAGAUAUUCGAAAACACAUAGGAUUUCAGAAAUAUUUUCUUUUCAUUUUUUGAUUGGAAUCUUUAAGUUCAGAACUUUUAGAAAAAUCUAUUUCUACCCAAGGUACUAACUUGAAAACUGUUUUCAAAAUCAUAUAGGUAGACAUUAAGUUAACCCAUUCAAGGAGGGUUGAAUAUUAAUUGAUAAAGGGAAAAAAAUCUAUCAUAGUUACUUCAGCCUUACUCUUUAAGGUCAGACGACACUGUACAUUGCAGUACAUCUAAAAAGUUUUCAUUAUACAGUUAUUUUGAUGUUGAUUCAUGACUGUAGUAUCUUGCUACUAGAAUACCAAUGGGUAACUUGAUCAGUACAUGUUUGCACCAGUUAUAUAAGGGAGAAAUGCUAAAAUAACUUUGAUGAGAAUAGAUUUUUUUCAUUCUCGAUGAUCCAACUGUGCUUAGUUUGGAUGUGAUUGUGUGCUUUUUU